rnacentral:rRNA from 1 species
GAUGAACGCUGGCGGCGUGCCUAAUACAUGCAAGUCGAGCGAACAGACGAGGAGCUUGCUCCUCUGACGUUAGCGGAGGACGGGUGAGUAACACGUGGAUAACCUACCUAUAAGACUGGGAAAACUUCGGGAAACCGGAGCUAAUACCGGAGAAUAUAUUGAACCGCAUGGGUCAAUAGUGAAAGACGGCUUUGCUGUCACUUAUAGAUGGAUCCGAGCGGCAUUAGCUAGUUGGUAAGGUAACGGGUUACCAAGGCAACGAUGCGUAGCCGACGUGAGAGGGGGGUAGGCCACACUGGAACUUAGACAGGGACCAGGCUCCUAAGGGAGGCAGCAGUCGCGAAUCGGCCGCAAUGGUGGAGAGCCUGACGGAGCGACGCCGCGUGUGUGAUGAAGGUGUUCGGUGCGUAAUACUCUGUUAUGAGGGGAGAACAAAUGUGUAAGGAAAUAUGCACGGCUUGACGGUACUUGAUCAAAAAGCCACGGCUAACUACGUG